rnacentral:rRNA from 1 species
AGUGAACGCUGGCGGUAGGCCUAACACAUGCAAGUCGAACGGCAGCACAGUAAGAGCUUGCUCUUACGGGUGGCGAGUGGCGGACGGGUGAGGAAUACAUCGGAAUCUACUUUUUCGUGGGGGAUAACGUAGGGAAACUUACGCUAAUACCGCAUACGACCUACGGGUGAAAGCAGGGGAUCUUCGGACCUUGCGCGAUUGAAUGAGCCGAUGUCGGAUUAGCUAGUUGGCGGGGUAAAGGCCCACCAAGGCGACGAUCCGUAGCUGGUCUGAGAGGAUGAUCAGCCGAACUGGAACUGAGAAGCGGUCCAGAGGCCGACGGGAGGCGGCAGGGGGGAAUAGUGGAGAAUGGGCGCAGGUAUGAACCAUCCUUACCGCGGAAAGGAAGGAGGCAGUCGGGUGGUAAAGUCUGUUGGUUGGGAAAGAAAAGCAGCAGGUUAAUACCCCGCUGGCAUGACGGUACCCAAAGAAGAAGAACAGGAUAGCUUCGGG